rnacentral:rRNA from 1 species
CAGUAGCCGCGGGAAUACGGAGGAUCCAAGCGUUAUCCGGAUUUAUUGGGUUUAAAGGGUGCGUAGGCGGCCAAUUAAGUCAGGGGUGAAAGACGGUAGCUUAACUAUCGCAGUGCCUUUGAUACUGAUUGGCUUGAAUGGACUAGAGGUAGGCGGAAUGUGACAAGUAGCGGUGAAAUGCAUAGAUAUGUCACAGAACACCAAUUGCGAAGGCAGCUUACUAUGGUUUAAUUGACGCUGAGGCACGAAAGCGUGGGGAUCAAACAGGAUUAGAUACCCCGGUAGUCCCUGUCUCUUAUAC